GAAUAUUGGAUCUUACAAAGAUGGGUGUUUGCGUUCUUAAGAAAUGCUCAGGACACAAAUUCUCUUUUCAACCAUUACUUCUCAUUAAAAAACUUUGUCGACAAAGAGCUUUGCCAAUAAAAUACAUAACCAACUAGCUAUUAUAUACUGUAUCAACACCAGCCUGUCCUCAAAAACAGUGAAAAUGCAAGGUCUGCAGUUUCUUAGUAAUUGCUGGAUGUGACAGACUCAUACAUAUGUGCCUGCAGGUAUAGGUUGAUACUUUUGAGCAUUUGAUGUUUGAUCAUUAAUUUCUUACCUUACUGGCUUACUCUACCUUAACACAAGUACGGUUUCCUUGAUACCCGUGGCAUGUACUGUCA